rnacentral:rRNA from 1 species
CGAAAACGAAUUCUCUCUUGAGUGGAUCCUGAGUACGACGGAGCACGUGAAAUUCCGUCGGAAUCUGGGAGGACCAUCUCCUAAGGCUAAAUACUCUCUAGUGACCGAUAGUGAACCAGUACCGUGAGGGAAAGGUGAAAAGUACCCCGGAAGGGGAGUGAAAGAGAACUUGAAACCGUGUGCUUACAAGUAGUCAGAGCCCGUUAAUGGGUGAUGGCGUGCCUUUUGUAGAAUGAACCGGCGAGUUACGAUCUGAUGCAAGGUUAAGCAGAAAAUGUGGAGCCGUAGCGAAAGCGAGUCUGAAUAGGGCGAAUGAGUAUUUGGUCGUAGACCCGAAACCAGGUGAUCUACCCUUGGUCAGGUUGAAGUUCAGGUAACACUGAAUGGAGGACCGAACCGACUUACGUUGAAAAGUGAGCGGAUGAACUGAGGGUAGCGGAGAAAUUCCAAUCGAACUUGGAGAUAGCUGGUUCUCUCCGAAAUAGCUUUAGGGCUAGCCUCAAGUGAUGAUUAUUGGAGGUAGAGCACUGUUUGGACGAGGGGCCCCUCUCGGGUUACCGAAUUCAGACAAACUCCGAAUGCCAAAUAAUUUAACUUGGGAGUCAGAAUGUGGGUGAUAAGGUCCAUAUUCGAAAGGGAAACAGCCCAGACCACCAGCUAAGGUCCCAAAAUAUAUGUUAAGUGGAAAAGGAUGUGGCGUUGCCCAGACAACUAGGAUGUUGGCUUAGAAGCAGCCAUCAUUUAAAGAGUGCGUAAUAGCUCACUAGUCGAGUGACACUGCGCCGAAAAUGUACCGGGGCUAAACAUAUUACCGAAGCUGUGGAUUGUCCUUUGGACAAUGGUAGGAGAGCG